rnacentral:misc_RNA from 1 species
GUCGGUCCUGAUAGUGAGCUAGCUCCUUUCAGAAGUGCACACAAUCCUUAGGUUGCGAUGUAAGCUUACUAAAGAAUUCUGAGCAAUGGUGAAAGUAACAACUAACCAUGUCCUCCUUGACAACGAGGUAAACUCCCAUCAUGCCAAUGGAUUCAGACUGAAUGUACUCGAGAUAUCUGGGAUUCAUUCAACACCUGCUCCAAUAUCAAAAAGGUAAACAUAAACUGCAGGUUGUUCAUUGCGGUCUUCGCAUUUUUAUAUUCACAGGAAUUUCCCUGUAGGACUGAACUCUCUUAGCUGCCUCCCUUGAUGGCCUACCCAGAGAUGCUCUUCCGAAGGGUGUAGGUUCAAACCUCGAAGAAGG